UGAUUCCUUCAAUUUCAUGAUUUUGAUUUUUGUAGGUGGUUUUGAUGUUUGAAUGUUUGGUUGUUUCGUUGAUUCGAGAUGCUCCGAAUUCGGUCGUGUUCUGUUGGCCAUUUUAGAUUGGGUUUAUGAAUCACAGUCCUACAUGACCUGGAGCAUCAAUAUCGGCCCAAUGAAUUUGAUUUGCCUAGAUGGGUUCUAGUAUUUGAAUUUGGUGAUUUGAUUGUGAAGUUGAAGUUGGAAGAAAAAAUAAAGAGUUUAGGAAAAAAAAAAAGAAACCAAAAAAAUAUUGGAUUUUGAAAAUGGAAACAGUCAUAAGUUCUUGGAAUUUGAAAUUGGCUUCACAAUGAAUGCUGUUUAUGUAGGUUCUUGGCAUUUUGCUUAGACAAAUUUUAACCCAUCCAAAGUUGAUGUUCCUGUGAUGGUAGAUAUGUUCUGUUAGCAUGUUGAAUUCAGUUUGCUGGUGCAGUGACAGUUGCUAUCCGCAUGGCUGUAAUCAAGCUCAAAAUUUUUAUUGGUUUUA